GGCCUUGGAGCUCAGUUGGUUAGAGCGUUGGCUGUACUAAAGCCUUCUCCUUCCUGGUGCGGGUUCGAAUCCCACCAAUGCCG
rnacentral:tRNA from 1 species